GACGAACGCUGGCGGCGUGCCUAAUACAUGCAAGUAGAACGCACAGUUUAUACCGUAGCUUGCUACACCAUAGACUGUGAGUUGCGAACGGGUGAGUAACGCGUAGGUAACCUGCCUGGUAGCGGGGGAUAACUAUUGGAAACGAUAGCUAAUACCGCAUAAUAUUGAUUAUUGCAUGAUAAUUGAUUGAAAGAUGCUAUUGCAUCACUACCAGAUGGACCUGCGUUGUAUUAGCUAGUAGGUGAGGUAACGGCUCACCUAGGCGACGAUACAUAGCCGACCGGAGAGGGUGAUCGGCCACACUGGGACGGAGACACGGCCCAGACUCCUACGGGAGGCAGCAGUAGGGAAUCUUCGGGAAUGGACGAAAGUCUGACCGAGCAACGCCGCGUGAGGGAAGAAGGUUGUCGGAUCGUAAAGCUCUGUUGUAAGAGAAGAACGGGUGUGAGAGUGGAAAGUUCACACUGUGACGGUAUCUUACCAGAAAGGGACGGCUAACUACGUG
rnacentral:rRNA from 1 species